rnacentral:sRNA from 1 species
GCGGAGGCCGCUCAACUCAGAAGCUGGAGGCCGGUUCCGGUUGCAUCAGCGUGGGAUUCACGGCGAAAUGAGGCUGUUCAUUGUGUGGUCCCGUUCCUGACCCGGCCUAAGGUCCCUGUCUUGCAGCUGGAUAGUGGCAACUACCUCUUCUCCACUAAUGCAAUCUGCCGAUAUUUCUUUUUGUUAUCUGGCUGGGAGCAAGAUGACCUCACUAACCAGUGGCUGGAAUGGGAAGCGACACAGCUGCAGGUAGGACUAAGGUAUGGGAGAUGUCAGGCAGGCCCUUGCUCUGCGUGGCCAUCCUGACUCAUGUCCCCUGCAUUUUAGCCAACUUUGUCUGCUGCCCUGUACUAUUUAGUGGUCCAAGGCAAGAAGGGGGAAGAUGUUCUUGGUUCAGUGCGGAGAGCCCUGACUCACAUUGACCACAGCUUGAGUCGUCAGAACUGUCCUUUCCUGGCUGGGAGGAGCUGAGUGCCCUGCACAGCUGGUUCCAGACACUGAGUACCCAGGAGCCAUGUCAGCAAGCUGCAGAGACUGUACUGAAACAGCAAGGUGUCCUGGCUCUCCGGCCUUACCUCCAAAAGCAGCCCCAGCCCAGCUCCCCUGAGGGAAGGGCUGUCACCAAUGAGCCUGAGGAGGAGGAGCUGGCUACCCUAUCUGAGGAGGAGAUUGCUAUGGCUGUUACUGCUUGGGAGAAGGGCCUAGAAAGUUUGCCCCCGCUGCGGCCCCAUCAGAAUCCAGUGUUGCCUGUGGCUGGGGAAAGGAAUGUGCUCAUCACCAGUGCCCUCCCUUAUGUCAACAAUGUCCCCCACCUUGGGAACCUCAUU